rnacentral:rRNA from 1 species
UACGUAGGGGGCAAGCGUUGUCCGGAUUUAUUGGGCGUAAAGAGCGUGUAGGCGGCCUGAAAGGUCAGCUGUGAAAACUCGAGGCUCAACCUCGAGACGUCGGUUGAAACCAUCUGGCUAGAGUCCGGAAGAGGAGUGUGGAAUUCCCGGUGUAGCGGUGAAAUGCGCAGAUAUCAGGAAGAACACCCGUGGCGAAGGCGGUUCUCUGGGACGGUACUGACGCUGAGACGCGAAAGCGUGGGGAGCGAACAGG